CACCGUAGGAGGGACGGCGGCCCAUCCACAUACAAUGGUUGUGUCCCUUCAAUUUCUUCAUCAUCAGGCUCAUUCUUCAUCUCAAAUCAUCACUUGAAAUCCUUUGAUUAUUUCUUCCUAUGGCUCAUUCUUCAUCGUCGACCAAGGAUUUCACCUGAAGCCUAGAGGGCAGCUUCUUUUGUCACUAUUUACUUGAAUGCUAUUCUUCUCAUCUUUAUUCUCUUUCUCUCUCUCUCUCUUGUUGUUCCCUGGAUUCGUUAGUUUGCUCUUGGUUCACCGAUUCGUCAGUUUGCUUGUUAUUCCCUUGAAGGAUUGUGAGUUUGGUCACUAUUAUCCUCAUGAAUUUGCUAUUACCUCACAAAUCGCUAUCAAGUUCACUGUUUGGGAUUUUUUUUAUUGUUUCUGCUGGAUUCAAUUAAGGUACAUUAUUUGUUUGUUGUAGCUUUUUUCAAUUGGUAUAUUUGAUUCAACAUUAUUUUCUUUAGAUUUUGUUAGAAAUUUUUAAUGUGGUCCACUAUAAAGCAACCAUUUUGGGUACAUUAUUUUUUAUCAUCAAUUGAUUCGAAGGAGAAAAUUUGAGGGUCCAUUUGAUAGCACAUUUUUUUGUGACUUUGAAGAGGGACCACUAUCACUUUCGCAGUUGUGGAAGCAAAAAUGGCCCACAAUCGAGGGCAAGAGAGCUACAUCUGCAGAAACUUAUGAAGGCAAUACAAGGAUAAUAGCUCAAGGACAGGGUCAAGCAAAGGCAUCUAAUAGCGAAAAGGC
rnacentral:misc_RNA from 1 species